rnacentral:rRNA from 1 species
AUUGAACGCUGGCGGCAGGCCUAACACAUGCAAGUCGAGCGGAUGAAGGGAGCUUGCUCCUGGCUUCAGCGGCGGACGGGUGAGUAAUGCCUAGGAAUCUGCCUGGUAGUGGGGGAUAACGUCCGGAAACGGGCGCUAAUACCGCAUACGUCCUGAGGGAGAAAGUGGGGGAUCUUCGGACAUAACGGUAUCAGAUGAGACUAGGUCGGAUUAGCUAGUUGGUGGGGUAAAGGCCUACCAAGGCGACGAUCCGUAACUGGUCUGAGAGGAUGAUCAGUCACACUGGAACUGAGACACGGUCCAGACUCCUACGGGAGGCAGCAGUAGGGAAUAUUGGACAAUGGGCGAAAGCCUGAUCCAGCCAUGCCGCGUGUGUGAAGAAGGUCUUCGGAUUGUAAAGCACUUUAAGUUGGGAGGAAGAGCAGUAAGUUAAUACCUUGCUGUUUUGACGUUACCAACAGAAUAAGCACCGGCUAACUUCGUG